AUAAGAUAGAACAAACACAUACCACAGGGAGAAGGGGCCACAUUUGACCUGUGGGAUUAGGAAAGACCAAAAAAAAAAAAAAAAAAGCCGUGAGAGAAGGGGACUUCAGCACUGCGAGGCGGGAGCGGGCUAGUGAAGGGAAGAAGUGGGCUGGCUCCUGACGCACUUUCUGCUGGUGGGAGGGAAACCAGGGACCCGAGCCCACUGGUGACGUUUCCUUCACGUGAUCAGAAGCCGACGUGUGCAGAAGUCCCUCUCCUCCAGGUACCAGCUCCCCAUUUCCGUGGAGAAAGAUUUCAGACUGAGGGACAGAGCGGCAACUGCCCUAGAGCCCUGCAGGUCUUCAGGUCUGUGGUUGUAGGCACCAACCCAGACAAGAGAGGAAAAGACCUGCAGGACCAGUGCAGGACAGGC
rnacentral:lncRNA from 1 species